rnacentral:lncRNA from 1 species
AGGGUUGGAGCCCUAAGGCUGGCGGGAUGGAAAUAGUUCAAUUUAGGGUUGGAGCCCUAAUGCCGACUAGCUGGGGAGAAGUUCAGUUUAGAGUUGAAACUCUAAUGCUGACCAACUGGGGAAAAGUUCAGCUUAGGGUCGGGGCCCUAAUGCUGACUGAAGGAAAAGAGUUUAGUUUAGGGUUUAAAUCCUUAACGCUGACUGGAUAGAAAAGUUAAGUUUAUGGUUUAAAACCCUAAUGCUGAUUAAAGGAAAAAGUUCAGUUUAGGGUUUAAAACCCUAAUGCUGAUUAAAGGAAAAAGUUCAGUUUAGGGUUUAAAACCCUAAUGCUGAUUAAAGGAAAAAGUUCAGUUUAGGGUUUUAAAACCCUAAUGCUGAUUAA